AAAAAUCUAGCUCAGACAAAUCUAGCCCAGGAUGGAGGCAUAAAACAUGAGCUUUUCUCUGUCAAAAGCAUCAUCCCCUGCAUCAAGAACUUCGAUUUGAGCUUUCUGCAAGGCUUUAUGCAGUUGGUCAUUUUUUUCCCGAGUUGAUUUCAUCUCCUUGGAUUUCUUGGUUAUAGUGGAUUGCAAUUCUUGACUCUUAGCCUCCGACUUUUCCCUUUUUGUCUUCUCCUCCAAUAAUUGUCUCUCCAGGUCGAAUAUUAUAUUCGUCUGCGCCUUCU
rnacentral:lncRNA from 1 species